rnacentral:sRNA from 1 species
CCGAUGAUAUAGACAAUACUAGUAAGAAUGGGGUCGAUGGAAAUUUUGGACUUAAAACGAAUCAAAAUGUCUGCUGUUUCGAAUUGUAUCCGCCAUGGAACCCUGUUAAUUCUACCGUGGAAUAUAAUUGAGAGCUUUUCCGAUGGAUGUUGUCUGUUAAACCUGUACGAGGGCGUGAAACCGAUAAAAUUUGAUUGGAAAAGUUGGACCUCCCCAGAAAAAUUACUUGGUGCCUUCGUUUCUUUGUCAGUUGGCAAACACAAGAACAGUUUGGACGCCGCGAUUUUAACCAUUAUAAACUUGCGGGGUUUAACGAUAUCUACUGUGUAUUCAGGACUUACUUCUUAACUCAAGUUAACUGUGAAGAAAUGUGGUCCCAGUAACUGUCGGAUAUGAUUGGCCCCAAGAUUGCAUAAUGAUAUCUCUAGCCAGUUACACAACUUUCCUGAUCCAGUGCCAGGUAUUUUAGAGUAAACAUCAUAUAUGUCAUUUUACGUUUUGUAAAGUGGAUUGAUGUUUUUCUUUAUUUUUAAAUGACUUUCAUUUAUUAAAGGAGAAGGACACUACAAGGAGUUCAGUGAGGUUUUUGAACCAAUACUACAGAGGAGCACUGUCCUUCUUUAUCAUCAAAAUGAGCACAAUCAACUGCAAGCAGACAUGGAAUUCAAUUUAGUCUAUCUGCUCAGACUGCAAAACAGUGAAACAAAUGGGAACCUGCAUAGAUUGCCCGAAACCCAGAGUCUUAUGAGUUAUAUAGUGCUACUAAACUUGGUGCCCAAGAAAGUACCUUGCUUACAAAAAUCAUUGGACUUUAUCAGUUUUCAUGUUGAUCUGAACUUCAGGAAUUAGAACCUAAUAAUCCUGAGAAAGCACCCUCAGUAUGUGCCCCAUUGUAGAAAGUUUAUAUGAGAUCAAAUUUAGCCUGUGCAUCUCCAAUUGAGACCCCCUACUACAUGUACAGCUCUGGUGUAUUUCCCCCAAUAUGCUAUCACUGUUGGACACAAGACACAGAUACAGAAGAUGAACAGUACCCAAUAUGUCAUGAUUGUGUUGUUUCACAACGACAGCUUUGUAAAAACGAAAGGAUGUUCAAAGCUCCAGAGCAAAGAAGCAGACAAAAUGAAAACAAAUAGUUUACUUUUAAAAAAAAUAAAUGUUUUUUCAUUUGAUCUAAAUAUUAAAUAUCAUUGUUGUACUUUGAAAGUUGGACUGUAUUUUCAAACAUACAUCGGGGUGUUUUUAUCUGUUAAAAUAUUUAAUAGCUUUCCUUAUUAAAUAAUAAAACAGCUGCUUGAAU